AUAGUUAUAUAUGGCAGUCAUAUUUGUCAGUAUAGUUAUCCAUUUACUUAACUGUGUUAAUAUGUCAGGGGACAGAUACCUGAACUGUGCCAAAGUGGCUGCAUAGCGUUCCACUGUGUGGCCAAAACAGAGCGUAACUCUUGGAUACAGGGCCACUUAACUGAGUUUCCUUCUGUUUUUUUAUUGAAACCUCAAACUAUGAUUUGAUUAGAAGACGAACCCUAAAUGUUUUCUUGGGAGGAAACAAAAACCUGCAAAGGCACAAGGAUGAAAUUAUUCAAAACAUUAUCUAGAUAGCCUGCAUUUCCUGGGAGACCAGAAUCCUGACCAUGGAACAGAAUUGAGAACUCUGAUUGGAGCUGGUGUCCUGAGGGCUGAUGUCACACAGCCUGUGUCCUGACAGGGGUGAGACUCCGACGGUGCCUGCCUGUCCCGUGCGCUUCGGCUGAAGGCUGCGCUGAAAGUCAGGUCUGAAAACGUGCACGGCAGCUGUCCCUCGUGAUGACAGUCAGACCCCUCUUAGGGACCAGAGGUGUGAGGAAUUUACUGCUGAGGGGUCAGCUUCUCUAAGCUCAUUUUUCCCUCUGUUUUUGCUGCAUUGUACAGUUGGCCUCCUGCAGCUCAGGCGACGGGACUGAGGGACGUGUGGUUCGGGCUGUGUGCGCCUCUCUCUGAGCACUUCUCUCCCGUUAGCGCUCAGCCUUCGUGUGGCCUGGCUUCUCAGGGCUCAGGCUGUUCGAUUAACCAAAGUGCUCAUUCCAGGUGCCCGCUUGACUUCCUUCCGACCAUGAUUGAGAAGCCUGAUGUUGAGAUUAUGAUUGCCAUUGGGGGCGGCUUACUGAUCGCUGCAUUUGUGCUGAUGUGCUGUUUCCUCUGUCUUUUCUGCAAAUUGGCCAACAUAUUGAAGAAACUGUGACAACCAGUGGCAUCAACACAAAAGGCAAGAGGCUCAUUUUGGAAGAAGGUUGCCCUGAGGCACUGCCAUCUCCAUGGUGUCCACUGCCAGCUCCCAAUGACCACGCCUCAGAGCGACACUGCGGAGAUCGUCCCCCUGGCAGAGGUGGCGCCCUUGUGUCUCCGAGCCACAGGCCUGGCCUGUGAAGUACAGGCCGUCCAUGCCGAGCGCAGCUGCCUCCUGACUGUUCUUUCAAGGUGUUUGCGGCCCCCCGAGGGGAGGAGCUGUGCUGUCCUUGAUCCCCAGGCCCAGACUCACAGGUAUCAGGGGCCAUGACCCGAAUGUCACCUUUGCCAGUCCGGUAACACUUUCCACCCAAGGAACCUCUGAACUCGGAGAAAGCCGUAAGUAAACCCUGAGCACUGUUUGCUUGCUGAUUAGAAUAUGUUGCACAUUGCUUACUGGUCACCAACAGGCUCCUGGUCCUGCUCCACGGGCAGCAGAAACACUUUCCUAGGUUGCAAUGGGAGCGUCGGGAGGCAACAGCUCAGACCUCUUGACAGAUGGGGAACCGGAAGGUCAGAGGGCAGGGAUGACUCUCAUGGCGGCAAGCAGCCAGUCAGUGACAGGGAGACUGGGACUGGCUCAGUCUUGCUCCCAGUCCUCCCCGCGUGCCACGCGCCUCCCCUGCUGAGCUUCUGGGACCCUCUGGACACUUGUGACAGCCUCCCUUCACAAAGUUCGUCCUUCGCAACUCUCCUGGGCAUGGAGCUGGGUGGGGUGGGGGGACACAGAGCCCCUGUAAAAAGGGUACAUCGCCAGAGACUCUGCCAAGCCCUCUACAGCACCUCUGUACAAUGUCUUCUCCCUGCCGUCCUCACCCAGCCCACAUUCGGUCCCUUCUGAUCCGCAGGAAGGACACUUCCCUGCCGAGGUGUCCCAAUGCCUGGAACGUGGCUGGGGCUCCGUCAGGGUGUCCUGUGGGACUCCUGCUUUGACCCCCAUCCCUGGAGGUGCUCUGCACACCCACACCCUCAAAGCUAAACUUCCCCCAGCGGGACCUGCCCCCGCCCACUCCUCCAUUCACGCUCUUCCAGCUGCCAGGCCACAGACAUUCACUGGUGUUAACUGGGGUCCCUUAAGAGGAACCGGGGUGCUUUAAAGCUGGGUGUCGCCUGCUCAGCCCCCGCGUCCUAAGCUGCUAACAGCACCUCCAGCCCAGCCGCCCAAGCCCAGGUCCCUCCUCGCAGCGCUGCCAGGGAAACCGCGCCUCUGCUGGGCCCGUCUUCUGUCUUGUGGACCAGCUGCUCCUCCCAAGUCGGCCGGAACCCGGCCUGUCACAGAUGGGUUCCCAUCUUGAACCAAACCGACCCCGCCGCACCUUAAACCCUGGCCACAUCCUCUCCAAAAGGUCACUUCAG